UCCGUUCGGGUCCGUGGUUGCGUCGUCAGCAGGCUCGUUGAGCCCUGUCGACAAGCCGAAGCCAGUCGCAGGCGAAACGGUCCACGUAAGUCUCCGCUCGGGGGUUCGCUCCCGCGUGGCGGACGAUCACGGUGCGGCUUAGAGGUAAGUCCUGCCCCGUCCCUGUCGUCAGACACGACAGUGCGCCGGGAGAAGGUGAGUAGUGGCAUCAAGCUGCGAGAGCCUCAGCAGGCGAUUGUGGGGUCGAAGACCAGGUCGGCCGAACGGA
rnacentral:ncRNA from 1 species